ACCUAUCACUUGUAUGACAGUAGCAAACAAUUCCAUUAUAUUGACGAUUAUGUAUAAACAAAACAAACCGACAUAAUAAGUACACAUGUAAAACAUAGUAGUACAGCAGUCAACAUUGUGUUACAAUCUUAAUAAACAAAAAAACAAAGAUAAAUGAAAAGGAAUAAAUACAAAGCAUAUUGGCAAAAACGGACACCAAAAAUACAAUUAAUUAUAAUUAAAAAAAAUUAUAAUGUGAUCAUAGAAUUCAUAAGAACCGAGAGCCA
rnacentral:lncRNA from 1 species